GCUGUGGGCGCCGUUUUUGAACUGGUUACAGCAUCGUCUUUAAGGCCCAGAAGAAAAAUAAUGAAAAUGUUUAUCAGCCAAUACAACAAAACCGCAGCGAUUUGGGAUUGCCCUAUGCCCAGAGGCCAUUUGGGGGUCCGGAACAGCUCUUCGUGGUAUAAGGAAAAGAGCGGAAGUGAGGCGUGGGCUCCAGGUUCAAAGAUGGCGCUGAGCGGCCGGGCGCAGAGGCAGGACCGCCGCAGGCCUAGUGGGCCAUGCUGGUCCGGAGAACCGGCCGGGCUGGAAGCAGCCGACUACUCCAGAACUGUACUUUGCGCCAUUUGAGUUGGCAUCAUUUCCAAUGAAUGGAAUGAAAUAGAUCAUACACAGAUCGAACGUGGGAUUGAAUGGAUGGGAGGCCUAAUAAUAAAUUUACAU
rnacentral:lncRNA from 1 species